rnacentral:rRNA from 1 species
UGAACGACUCUCGGCAACGGAUAUCUCGGCUCUCGCAUCGAUGAAGAACGUAGCGAAAUGCGAUACUUGGUGUGAAUUGCAGAAUCCCGUGAACCAUCGAGUCUUUGAACGCAAGUUGCGCCCGAGGCCUCGGCCGAGGGCACGUCUGCCUGGGUGUCACGCAC